rnacentral:rRNA from 1 species
AUUGAACGCUGGCGGCAUGCUUUACACAUGCAAGUCGAACGGUAACAGGCCUUCGGGCGCUGACGAGUGGCGAACGGGUGAGUAAUGCAUCGGAACGUGCCCAGUCGUGGGGGAUAACGCAGCGAAAGCUGUGCUAAUACCGCAUACGAUCUGCGGAUGAAAGCGGGGGACCUUCGGGCCUCGCGCGAUUGGAGCGGCCGAUGUCAGAUUAGGUAGUUGGUGGGGUAAAGGCCCACCAAGCCGACGAUCUGUAGCUGGUCUGAGAGGACGACCAGCCACACUGGGACUGAGACACGGCCCAGACUCCUACGGGAGGCAGCAGUGGGGAAUUUUGGACAAUGGGCGCAAGCCUGAUCCAGCAAUGCCGCGUGCAGGAAGAAGGCCUUCGGGUUGUAAACUGCUUUUGUACGGAGCGAAAAGGCUCCCUCUAAUAAAGAGGGUCCAUGACGGUACCGUAAAAAUAAGCACCGGCUAACUACGUGCCAGCCGCCGCAGUAA